UCAGGACGAACGCUGGCGGCGUGCUUCAUACAUGCAAGUCGAACGAGAAGCUGACUUCGGUCAGUGGAAAGUGGCGGACGGGUGAGUAACACGUAGGAAAUCUGCCCUUUGGAGGGGGACAACAGUUGGAAACGACUGCUAAUACCCCAUAUGAGCUAAGUUGAAAUACUUAUCUUGAAAACUCCGGUGCCAAAGGAUGAGCCUGCGCCUGAUUAGCUUGUUGGUGGUGUAAUGGACUACCAAGGCGACGAUCAGUAGCUGGUUUGAGAGGAUGAUCAGCCACAAUGGGACUGAGACACGGCCCAUACUCCUACGGGAGGCAGCAGUAGGGAAUUUUGCGCAAUGGGGGAAACCCUGACGCCAGCAACGCCGCGUGAUUGAUGAAGCCCUUCGGGGUGUAAAGAUCUGUCAGUAGGGACGAAAUUUGACGGUACCUACAGAGGAAGCACCGGCUAACUCCGUGCCAGCCGCCGC
rnacentral:rRNA from 1 species